rnacentral:lncRNA from 1 species
UGUUGGGGAUAUUUCCGCGGUAUGACCCGCCCUAUUGGGCCGAGUCAGGUGCAUGGCGAUUCAACAUUCAUAAACAAGGUAGGCCUUGUCCCAGGGUCGGAGAGGUGCAAGGAGAACUUCAACGGAGAGCCGGCCGGACCCAUUAACCUAGAUGGCGGUUCAGGACCUACGAAGCAGAUGAGUCGUCGUGGCCGUUUCCUUGCUUGGAAGACACGGCGGGUUAGAGAUAUGGUAGGGCACGAUUUGUAAUGUGGCUUGGACUUUUGUAAGACCUAGGACCUCGACCUGUAUAUAAAGGCGAGUUCCUAG